rnacentral:rRNA from 1 species
GUCCACAACCAUAGCAAGUUGAAAACACCGGUUCUCGUCCAAUCACUGAAGGUAAGCAAUGUAGGGAUUAGUGAGUAUUGUUGACCACUUGGGAAUACUAAGUGCCGUGGGCU